CCUACGGGUGGCAGCAGUGAGGAAUAUUGGUCAAUGGGCGCGAGCCUGAACCAGCCAAGUCGCGUGAGGGAAGACGGUCCUAUGGAUUGUCAACCUCUUUUGUCGGGGAGCAAAAGACGCCACGCGUAGCGUUCCGAGCGUACCCGAAGAAAAAGCAUCGGCUAACUCCGUGCCCGCAGCCGCGGUAAUACGGAGGAUGCUAUCGUUCUCCGGAUGUAUUGGGUUAAAAGGGUGCGCAGGCGGAAGAUCAAGUCAGCGGUAAAAUUGAGGGUCUCAACCUCUUCGAGCCGUUGAAACUGGUUUUCUUGAGUGAGUGAGAAGUAUGCGGAAUGCGUGGUGUAGCGGUGAAAUGCAUAGAUAUCACGCAGAACUCCGAUUGCGAAGGCAGCAUACCGGCGCUCAACUGACGCUCAUGCACGAAAGUGUGGGUAUCGAACAGGAUUAGAUACCCUUGUAGUC
rnacentral:rRNA from 1 species